rnacentral:rRNA from 1 species
AUUGAACGCUGGCGGCAGGCCUAACACAUGCAAGUCGAGCGGAGUGGCGAACGGGUGAGUAAUGUAUCGGAACGUGCCCAGUAGCGGGGGAUAACUACGCGAAAGCGUAGCUAAUACCGCAUACUAUUGGAGCGGCCGAUAUCGGAUUAGCUAGUUGGUGGGGUAACGGCUCACCGAGGCGACGAUCCGUAGCUGGUUUGAGAGGACGACCAGCCACACUGGGACUGAGACACGGCCCAGAAUCCUACGGGAGGCAGCAGUGGGGAAUUUUGCACAAUGGGCGCAAGCCUGAUGCAGCCAUGCCGCGUGUGUGAAGAAGGCCUUCGGGUUGUAAAGCACUUUCAGCGGGGAGGCGUUACCCGCAGAAGAAGCACCGGCUAACUCCGUGCCAGCAGCCGCGGUAAUUC